UGUUUAUCUCUAAUCUACAUCUCAGGUGUCCUCAGUGAAAUUGUCCUACAGCUGCUUGUUCUUCAAAGUCAGGAAAGUGUUCUGUUCUGCUGAUGGAGACAACCUUCACUUCAGCUGGACUUCUGCGUUAAACACUCGGUUGGAGGACGACAACAAAACUCUCGUACUGGAUAAAAUACAUAAUAAUAAUAAUGUCACCUGUCAUGUAGAAAAUCACAUCAGUCGUGUGCACAAUUCAAUUAACCUCCCAACAUGUAUUGAUUUCAUGAUUGUGUUUGUGCUCGUGUGGCUCUUUGAGGUCAUCAUCCUGCUGUCUGUGUUAGUGGGCACACUGUACAUUUACCCCAGAAUCUACAGGAAACAGAGGACACCAGAGACCAGGACCAGGAAGCUCUGUAACCCAGAACAAGGAUUAGAAGACGCAGUCUGUGGCUGAUCUCCUCUAUAUGAGCAGGCAUCGUUCUCCGUCUCAAAAGACAAAAAAAGACAGUGCAGGACAAAAGACAAAAAAGACAUGUUGUGUAAAUUUCCAUGACA